rnacentral:rRNA from 1 species
UACGUAGGGGGCGAGCGUUAUCCGGAUUCAUUGGGCGUAAAGCGCGCGUAGGCGGCCGCCUAAGCGGAACCUCUAACCCCGGGGCUCAACCUCGGGCCGGGUUCCGGACUGGGCGGCUCGAGUGCGGUAGAGGAGAGCGGAAUUCCCGGUGUAGCGGUGGAAUGCGCAGAUAUCGGGAAGAACACCAGUGGCGAAGGCGGCUGUCUGGUCUGCAACUGACGCUGAGGCUCGAAAGCAUGGGUAGCGAACAGG